rnacentral:rRNA from 2 species
CAUGCAAGUCGAGCGGACCGACGGGAGCUUGCUCCCUUAGGUCAGCGGCGGACGGGUGAGUAACACGUGGGUAACCUGCCUGUAAGACUGGGAUAACUCCGGGAAACCGGGGCUAAUACCGGAUGCUUGAUUGAACCGCAUGGUUCAAUCAUAAAAGGUGGCUUUUAGCUACCACUUACAGAUGGACCCGCGGCGCAUUAGCUAGUUGGUGAGGUAACGGCUCACCAAGGCGACGAUGCGUAGCCGACCUGAGAGGGUGAUCGGCCACACUGGGACUGAGACACGGCCCAGACUCCUACGGGAGGCAGCAGUAGGGAAUCUUCCGCAAUGGACGAAAGUCUGACGGAGCAACGCCGCGUGAGUGAUGAAGGUUUUCGGAUCGUAAAACUCUGUUGUUAGGGAAGAACAAGUACCGUUCGAAUAGGGCGGUACCUUGACGGUACCUAACCAGAAAGCCACGGCUAACUACGUGCCAGCAGCCGCGGUAAUACGUAGGUGGCAAGCGUUGUCCGGAAUUAUUGGGCGUAAAGCGCGCGCAGGCGGUUUCUUAAGUCUGAUGUGAAAGCCCCCGGCUCAACCGGGGAGGGUCAUUGGAAACUGGGGAACUUGAGUGCAGAAGAGGAGAGUGGAAUUCCACGUGUAGCGGUGAAAUGCGUAGAGAUGUGGAGGAACACCAGUGGCGAAGGCGACUCUCUGGUCUGUAACUGACGCUGAGGCGCGAAAGCGUGGGGAGCGAACAGGAUUAGAUACCCUGGUAGUCCACGCCGUAAACGAUGAGUGCUAAGUGUUAGAGGGUUUCCGCCCUUUAGUGCUGCAGCAAACGCAUAAGCACUCCGC